rnacentral:rRNA from 1 species
UACGUAGGGGGCAAGCGUUAUCCGGAAUUAUUGGGCGUAAAGAGCUCGUAGGCGGUUUGUCGCGUCUGCUGUGAAAACUGGGGGCUCAACUCCCAGCCUGCAGUGGGUACGGGCAGACUAGAGUGCGGUAGGGGAGAUUGGAAUUCCUGGUGUAGCGGUGGAAUGCGCAGAUAUCAGGAGGAACACCGAUGGCGAAGGCAGAUCUCUGGGCCGUAACUGACGCUGAGGAGCGAAAGCAUGGGGGAGCGAACAGG